GCGGACAUCCUGGGAUAAGCGCUAAAGAUUGCUAUUCCAGAGGCUGCUGCUUUGAUGCAAGUGUUCCAGGGGUUAAAUGGUGUUUUUACCCCAAAUUCAAAGGAUGCUCUGUGAGCCACAAGCUGAGGAAAGACUGCGGAUAUCCCAACAUCAGCUCCAAGGACUGUCUGUCUAGAGGCUGCUGUUUCGACUCCAGUAUUCCUGAGACCAUCUGGUGCUUCUAUGGAUAUAAAUAAAAUACUAACGAUACUCAGUAUAACCGGCUUGUAACACUCACCGAAGUCUCUAUACACAAAGAAUCCUGGUGGGGAGCGAUUUUGUUCUGAUC